UACAGAGGGGGCAAGCGUUAUUCGGAAUUAUUGGGCGUAAAGGGCGCGUAGGCGGCCUGGCAAGUGACGGGUGAAAGCCCUCGGCUCAACCGAGGAACUGCCUGUCAUACUGCCGGGCUUGAGUCCGGGAGAGGUGAGUGGAAUUCCCAGUGUAGCGGUGAAAUGCGUAGAUAUUGGGAGGAACACCAGUGGCGAAGGCGGCUCACUGGACCGGAACUGACGCUGAGGCGCGAAAGCGUGGGGAGCAAACAGG
rnacentral:rRNA from 1 species